AGCGAACGCUGGCGGCAGGCUUAACACAUGCAAGUCGAGCGCCUGUAGCAAUACAGGAGCGGCAGACGGGUGAGUAACACGUGGGAACGUGCCUUUUGGUUCGGAACAACUGAGGGAAACUUCAGCUAAUACCGGAUAAGCCCUUACGGGGAAAGAUUUAUCGCCAAAAGAUCGGCCCGCGUCUGAUUAGCUAGUUGGUGGGGUAAUGGCCCACCAAGGCGACGAUCAGUAGCUGGUCUGAGAGGAUGAUCAGCCACACUGGGACUGAGACACGGCCCAGACUCCUACGGGUGGCUG
rnacentral:rRNA from 1 species